UGUGUGGCCGGGAUAAGUGCUGAAAGCAUCUAAGCACGAAGCCCCCCUCAAGAUGAGAUUUCCCAUUGCGCAAGCAAGUAAGAUCCCUCAAAGACGAUGAGGUAGAUAGGUUCGGGGUGGAAGCGUGGCGACACGUGCAGCUGACGAAUACUAAUCGAUCGAGGACUUAACCAA
rnacentral:rRNA from 1 species